CGGCGAGAAGGGGACUGUAGAGGGGAGCAGGUAGAAAGCAAACGAGGCAAGCAGGAGAGUCAAAGAAAACACUGCUCCAAAGAAGUAGCACAGAAAGGAAGAGAAAGUGUGAAGAUGGGGUGAAGACCUUUACGAUCCACUUCCGCUUCAUGAAUAGUAAGUAAUCAUCAGGCCAUACAACUAAUAAACUUACCUAUUGUGUA